CAUCUUUUUAGAGAUUUGGCAGAAGUCCAAGACCUUAUGGCAUGUGAACAAACUCUUUUUGCCCGACAGAAUGUGGACAGCAGAACUGCUUCAUAAAUCGGGAGGAAGGCACACCUGGAAGGUGGUGAUGCCGGUGCAGCGGGAAAUGUGCCAGAAACCUAGAAUGGAACAGCACAGCAAGGGCUGCUCCCUGGCCAUUAGAAAUAGAACACCACACCCAAUGGCUAAAGCUGGUGGCCAGAGAUAAGAACUUAGAGGCAUCUCUCCUGCCUAGCUGACUGGGCCCCCUGUUUUCCCACCACUUCCUUUAAAUAAACCAUUCAUGCAUUUGCCUGUAAACUUAAAGUGACCCAUAUUCUGCUAGCUGCCACUCUCUCUUUCUCUCUGCCUGACCUUUCAUUCCUGCCUUGCGUGACCCAGGGAUGGAGGGCUGCCCUCCAGAUUCAUUGCACCCU